UACGGGGGGGGGCAAGCGUUGUUCGGAUUUACUGGGCGUAAAGGGCGCGUAGGCGGCCACCGCAAGUCAGUUGUGAAAUCUCUGGGCUUAACCCAGAACGGUCAGCUGAUACUGCGGGGCUAGAGUGCAGAAGGGGCAACUGGAAUUCUCGGUGUAGCGGUGAAAUGCGUAGAUAUCGAGAGGAACACCUGCGGCGAAGGCGGGUUGCUGGGCUGACACUGACGCUGACAGCGCGAAAGCUAGGGGAGCGAACGGG
rnacentral:rRNA from 1 species